GGUGGAGCUCAGAGCAGCCAGAGGCUCUGAUGUGGCUUUCAGAUGGGGCUGAGUACGGGAAGAUAUGCAAAUGCUGCAGCGACAGGAAGCAGAGUAGCCAGGCACCCAGCACGGUUGCUAGGAACUCAGAGGUGGAUUUGGAGAGACACUUGCCUUUGGAAGAUUGCUCAGGAGCAACCUGGGCUCCCAGAAGCGCUGUAAUUUCUUUAGAUCAUCUGAUAGCAGAUUCUGAGGUUUACCAGCUUCAGGGAGAUGAGGCUAUUGUGAAUUAUUUUUUUUGCUCUGUAAUCAAACCAGCCCCAGCCAGCCAUACUGGGAAUUUACUGCCUGAGCUGUUUUCCAACAUGGUUUUGCUGGCAAAACCAGACGUGAGUGUUUCUUCGACUCUCAAGGGUACUGUUUACACUGACUUUAUUUUUAUUGCCAGCUUUCAAGUGGGAAGAGGGAGAUUACGUGCAAAGAUGACAGAUGGAUGCUCACAAUUUGGAAUAAGAACCUGAGUGAAGAACUGAGAAGGCAAGUCUCUGGUCCAUACACACAUUCCUGGAGACUAACAUUAUUGGGAGAGCUACUCAUAAGUGCUGUCCUCCAGUGAGAAACAAACCAAGACAUCACUGCUCCACUCAGGAGUGACCAAGAAGCCAUGAAAUCCCUGACUGCAGGAAACUUAGAAGAUUGCCUACUGGAUCAAGUGGACUUGAGGCGUCAGUGGAUUUCCCAGAUUGUGGAGGAGGUGCAGAAAGUCAUCCACCAUCUGACCGCAGAAAUCAGCACCCGAGACAUUCGAUUUCAAGCCGUCCCUUACUCUGACACAUACAACGGGAACAUUAAGGUUUUGGCCCCCAGCCAGUUCCUCAUCACAGUCCCACUGAAAGGCCUGGCAGGGUACAGGGAGGCCGAGGAGCAGCGCUGGCGGUACUACACCCUGCGGGGCGCCAGGCUCCCCUGCCCGUUGCGGGACCCUGAGGGCCUGCAGCAGUGGCUGGCAGUGGGGCAGUUCACGAAGAGCCUGUGGCAGUGGCACGAGGCAGACGUGAACAUCGAGGGAGACAUUGUGCCUGCCAAGGUCCUCCAGGUGUUCCGGAAGCUGGUAGAAAAUGCAAUUGGAACCUGUCACCUCUCAGGUAAGGUCAGCAUGCUGGCAAACUGCCCUGCCGUUUGCGUUGCCGUGGAAGCAUCCUCACGUCAGGUGGAAGUAGAGCUGGUCCCCGCAGUGGAGAUCCCCACCGUCUGGUCCAAGAAAGCCCAGUGGCCUCCAUGUCUGAAGCGCUGGCCUUCCCCUGAGAGAGUGGAGUGCACCAAGUCAUUUGGAUUUACCUUGUUGGCUGGUUCAAGUUAUCACUGGCAGCUGAGCUUCUUGAAGGCCGAGCAGGUGCUGCUGGAGCAGCUGGAUGAGGAUGGGGGCUGCCGCAGGAAGUGUUUUCAGGUCAUGAGGCAGAUGAAGGAGGAUGUCUGGUGCCCAGGGAAGAGGCCUGUUAUCACGUCCCACCAUCUGCAGACAGUGCUCUUUUGGACUUGUGAGAAAUAUCCGCACUUGAAGGACUGGCAGGUCUUCCGCAAAGCGUUCCUGCGCCUGGUGAGGAAGCUGCACAAGUGCGUGAGCCAGCGCUUUCUGAAACACUACUUCGUGCGGAAGAGCAACCUCCUUCAGCACGCCAGCUCAUGCGAGCUGGAUGCUGUGGCCCAGAAACUGGCCUUCUUCCUGAAGGACCCCCAGAUCAGCCUGGCCUGAGAGACUCUUGGACAUUUCACUCUGGCUUGACCCUCGUUCACUGUGGAUCGUUCCAGUCAAAUGCCACGAUCCUGCCCAGGAGAGAAGCAACAUAUGACGGAGGAAUUUACACUGGCCCAGUAGUACUGAAGACGGGGUAAACUGUGCCCUAAGACGUCUGACCCAGGCCUCCCUGGAGCCACGAGAGCACUUCAGCCCUCACUAGCUACCUCUCUUGGGGAUAGCUCUCAGCAAGCUUCACCAAGCCAGAUUCUGAACUGAUGACAGUUCUGAAGUUAUUUUCCCUUGCUCAGGCUCUGAUGGUCUGACGAGGAGGAUGGAGACAAGAACCUCUUUCCAGAAGGCCAGGCAUCAGCCUGCUGCCCAGCCGUGGUUCUCCAGCCACUGACCACGGGCUCAUUAUCUUCCCAUUUGUAAAAUGGGACUGUUAAUAUGCCUGCCUCACAGCAGGGCUGUGAACCUGCGGGACCGUGCUGGUGUCCUUUCAAGGGGAAGGCGUUGGAUCAGCACAAAGUGUAACUCGUGGGUUUAGUAGCCGGAGUUUGCAUCCUGGAUGGGUCCCCACACCAGUGAUGGAACGGGUCUGCUGGGUCAGCAUGCCUGUGUUUCCUCGCUGCCUCCACCUCUUCUAAACGGUGGUUUGUGGUGUGUUCUGUCUGCUUCCCUGGUUUCUCGAAGCAGGAAAAGAGUGGUUUUGAUGCCUAGCGUCAAAGAUGAAAUGCAGCCACUGCCCUCUCCUUGCUUCCCGUGCUGCAGGACAGGGAUGGGACUUCCUUAUGUUUAUGAAUGAACUUGGUACCACCAUCUGCAUGGAAUGACUUUGGUGUCACUCAUCUCUCAGUUCCCUCCUUUGCUCGCUUCACUCACUCAUUCAUUGAUAAAUACAUGCUCAUUAGGCAUUGGGAAUGCAGCAAAGAGCAAGAUCGACAAGGCUUACUUGAUGCAUGAUGCCUAAUGGUGGGGACAGGAAAUGAACAACAGAUAAAUAAACAUGUUCGUUACCAAUUGUAGCAAGUGCCCUGAAGCAAAUAAACAGAAUAUUGAAAUAGAGCCACAGAGAGAUCCUUAAAGGAUGAAAACGCAAACAGCUGAAGAAGGAAAGGGGGCCAAGGGCCCACUUGGAGGGGCUGGCAUGAGUCAGAUGACUUGGCCUUGGAAAGCGGUGACUUCCCGAGGUCGUUUCAUUGCUGCCAGAAAGCAGUGGGAGAGAAGCAGCAAAUGGCCAGCACACACUCCUCGGUGAGUCGCUGUCGCGGUUCUGCAGGACCACCCUGAGCGUUAGCAUCUGGGGCUCCUGGGCGCCAAGUGUUGCUGAACCCCACUCCCUGCCCCCCAACACCCAGCAUUGUGACCACCAAAACACCUGCCCACUCCCACCCCCUUUUUUGAAAUGCCUGCGUUGCCCCUCACAUGAAAAUCAUUGAAUUAGAUUGACUAGUAAUUUUUUUGUUGAGAAAUACCUCCUCCAGUGACAGUGGAGCUGGCAAACCAUGAACCGGGGACACAGUCUGGCCCAUGGCCUGUUUUUGUGUGAUGCUCGAGCUAGGGAUGGUUUUUGUACUUUCAAAGGGUUGGGAGGAGGAAUGGAAGUGACAGGCUGCAUGUGGUCCACAAAGUCUAUAUUUACUCUCUGGCCCUCGAGAGGUAAAGUUCACAGCUCAACAAGCGAUGACCAAGAGCUAACCAGACUGCCAGCUUCUGGGGGUACUGUGAGGGAUAAGACAUCAUUGUUGUCCAGAGAGAACAAGUCACGUUAGGAGAAAUAAAGGCACCAUAAUAGCAAGGGCAAUGUGUGCAAAGAUGGGGUCAUACUGUCGCUAUGGAAGCACAAAAGAGGGGCACCCAGCUCGGCCUUGGGGACUUAGAGAAUGCAGAGAAGGGGAGCCUUCCAAGAGGAGGGGGCAGGUAAGAUGAAGCUGGAAAGAGAAGUAGGUGUUAGGCAGAAGGGUGCGGUGAAACUGGGGGGAGGGUGGUGAGGUAGGAAAAACAGCCUAGGCAGAGAGAGAGAGAGAGAGAGAGAGAGAGAGAGAGAGAGAAAGAGGUGCAAAGGUUUUAGUGGAAUGCAAGGCGAAGAAUGCCAAGGGCUGCAGCUGGAGAGGGGGCUGAGGCCUGUGCCAAAGACUUUGUGUCUCCCAGCUGGAUGCUUGGACUUUACCCAGGCUCAAGUGCUGGCCCCAACACUAAGUAGCUGUGUGGCCUUAAGCAAAGUACUUAACCUUUCUGUGCCUCAACUUCCUCAUCUGUAACAUGUGGUUAAGAAGAGUACCUAUCUCAUAGGGUUGCUGAAAACAUGAAAUGAGGUAAUACAUACAAAGCAUGCAGAAUUGUGCCGGCCCAUAAUUAGCACUCAGCAAAUGCUGCCGACUGUGGUUGCUGUCGGGGUCAUUGCUCUUGUUACACUAUCAGUUAUGGGAAGGCUUUGAAAAGCUGUGAGCACUUGCUAUGGGCCUGUCUCUACACUGAGCACUAGGAAUAGAGUGGUCUUGUCUUAUGACAUCCGUUUGAGACCUGGACCUUGUAGAAAUCCAGGCAAAAAUUGUUUUGACUCUGGGGUUCCCUGGUGCCUGUUGCCAGAGUGUUCAGGAAAUAAUAGUGGUCUGGCCAUCCUUCACUGAAGGUGAUUAGGAGUCAGCUUCCAGCACAAAUGAUUGCGUCUGAGAGCCAGGAAGGUAGGAGGUCCAGAGUGAGGGCAUUAAGAACUCCUCAGGUCAGGAGCCACAUGCUCCCCUCUUUCUCCUGAAAGAAAAGUAUCAAAUACGGCUCUACUAGCAGAGAGAAUGAUCUAGGCUUCACCCUACCAGACUCAUACUUGAUCCUGCACAGCUUUCCUUUGCCUCAGUGGCCCAAUCUAGUCAUCAACUCUCUGGAAUUUCUUUGGACUCGUACAGUCCUUCAGUGGGUCUCUGCUUCUUCACACAGAAGAGAAAGCAUCUCUCCUGACAUGUGCAGUCCAGUCCGGCAGAGGCAGCCUGGAAAUGGAGUCCACACCACAGCGAGGGCUUGCAAGGGACCCAAGAGUCACUCCCUGCCCUCCCUUGUGGCGUCUCCCUCUAGCCCAUCUGCCACAGCUCAUGGGACCUUCCCAGACACAGACACAGCCUGCAGAGGAGGCCGGGGAGUGAGAGCCAAUAGGCAGCAGGCAGGCCUGCAGCACACUCCCCAUUUCUGCUGUCGACUGUGCAGGUAGCAGAGAGGGGUCCCCUCCAUCUACAGAGCCCCCCCCAAGGCUUCAGAGCUGGGGGGACCUCCGAGGUUGGUAGCCUGUCUGUGCAGCCGACCACGAGACAACGGCCCUGCUGCGGGAGCACUCAGGAUGCAGAGCUUCCGCUGAGUGCGGUGGGGCUCUCGGUGGGUGAUGCCCUGGGCCCAGGCAUUGUGUCCGCACUGCAGGAGUAGCCCCAUGCUGGCAGCUGGCACCCCGGGCACUCGGCGCAGGGCCUGGGCAAGCUGCGCUCUGAUCUGCAGUCUCUCGGUGCUCUGGGCUCCUUUGGGGAGGACAUUAUCUUCGAUGUUAUUGUGUAAUAAUAGGACCAUGUUCCUGUGUCCUGUGGCUUUCUGGCUGAGCACACCAUGCUCCAUGAGGAAAUACGGUUACAGGAAUUAUGCUCUUAUUUAUUUUCCCUCCAGAAUAUCAGAGUUGACAGCACAGAGACACAGGUCUGUGGUCAUUUCAAGCUCAUUUACCUCUCCCUGCCCCACCCUCCUCUCCUCAGCAGCCACCCUGUCACCUGCCACAGGGCCUCAGGCCCUAUCCCCUGUCUACCCAUCUCCUUAGAGUGCAUACAGGCUGCUUAAGCGCUUUGUUCAAAUGUACCCAUUUAAUUCUGACGAUAGCCCUAUGGGGUAAGUAUUAUUAUUGUUCUCAUUUCACACUUGAGGAAACUCAGGCCUAGAGAGGUUAUGUGACUUGCCCAGGGUCACACAGCUAGUGAGUGGCAGAGCAUAGAUUCAAACCCAGGCUGUCGGGCUCCAUAAUUUGUGCUUUUAAUUCUGUGCUAUUCAGCCUCCAGUUCUGAUGCUUUUUUCUGUGCGGAUCUACAUAGAGAACAAACUGUGGGCACCAGCACUCGGCAUCCAGGUCAGUGGACACCGUGGAGCUGAGGAGCACUGUUGAUCGGCACUGCCCACGUAAGAAGAGGAACCCCGUGGAAGCUUUAGGCCAUUCAAAGUGGACAAAACUGUCCUUUCUCUCUGGGAUGUUCCCAGAGCUUCUCGGGUAGCCCCACAGUUUGAGUGUCUGAAAUCCCUGCGGGAAGCCCAGCACCUCCAGAGCAAUUCCUGGGAUUCUCAGAGCUUCCUAGAACCAGCCUUGCUUUGAGUGGCUGAGCUAUGGCCAACUGGGCGCCAGACACCCAGGCUCUGGGGACAGCUGUCUGGGCAUGGCCAGCAGUGGGCAUGGGGACCCUCCCCAGGAAUGCCCUGUUGAUACAUCUUGGAGUCUGUUAUGGUGCUUCUCUGGGUGUAGGCCUGUCUGUGGGUGGAAACGGACAAGCGUGUAUCUCAUGACAGUGUGCUUCACUGGGUUGUCACAUUUUUGUGUUUAUUUUGCCCACUAGAGUGUGUAUGUAUGUGUGUGUGUGUGUAUGUGUCAGGGCUUAGGUCUAAAGAAGGGUAUGUCCCAAUAGAAACAUAAAAUGUGUCAAAGUUUGUGUGGGUGAAAGAGGGAUUGGCUGGAGCGACAUAGCUGUGUGUCCAUGUGUGUGUGCGAGGGCACACUCCCCCAGUGGUUCUUGACAGCUGUGGCUUAUCGCCACCUUGGCAUUCCUCCUUUGCUGCUCCAAGGCCCCCAGCAAUAUGCCAAGGUGCCCGGGCCCUGCCUUGCAGAGUGGGGCCAUUUUAGUUCUUUGUUGUUGGCUUGAUUUCGUUCCUGAUGGGAACAGCUCCUCCCAUCCCCUUCUGACCUGAGCCUCGCCCCAACCCCAGGUGGGCACAUCUUAUAGUGACGGACCUCCUGUUUCUAGUCAUUCUGCCUCUGAUUGGUUCCAAGUGGGGAACAGCAUGACUCUCUGAGACGCCUCCAGGCUCCUCUCUAGGUCUCUGGGAAUUUUACUCAUAGCCUCCACAGUGCCCCGCAAAGCUGGGAAAACAGGGGGCUGUGGGGGCCAUUAGAACCUGUGACUGUCUGGAGUCUGAUGGAGAGGCAGAUACUAAGGGGCUGGUGGGCAGGAGAAACGGUUCAAGAGGCAGAUGUGGGAGAUGGUUCUGCAGUCUGGCAGGGAGAGGCAGCUCUUGGCACCAGCUCCACGAGGCCAGAUGCAGAGUCACUCCUGCCGCAGUUCUCCUCCACUGCUCCCUCCUCCUCAACACCUCGUUCCUUCCCCCCUCAGGGCCUGUGGCCCUCUGGCCAGGGUGUGAUGCCCUCAAUACUGCCCCUCGGUCAGGAGGGCUGAGGCAAGGUGCCUCCCGGGGGGGACUCUCCUAUGAUGAGGAAAACAAUCAGAAGGCUCUAUAACCUUGGACAAAUUGCUUAAACUCUCUGUGCCUCAGUUUUUUAGUCUGACAAAUGGGGAUAGUAAUAGGGUCAUGGUGAGAAUUGUGAGUUCCUACAUGUAAAGCACUUAGAAUCCUAUUGGCAUGUUCACUCACUGUACACUCAGUAAUUGUUGUUAUGAGACUAUCUAUCCCAGAAGCCAAGCUGGCCUUUUCCCAGGGUCUGGUGGAGAGUGGGUGCAGUGGGAGUGGGUAAGGAGACUUGUCUUUCGUGAUGUCUAGGCUUGGCAGAAGGGAGGGGUGACGUCCUUCACCCCUGGAAAGGAUUCCCACCGUCCUGCAUUGGGUGCAUCCAGGAUGCGUGUUGGACCCAGGCUGGGGCUGCCUCCCUGUCCAGGCAGGGGAGGGCUGCAAGCAUAGCAAACCCUGCCCUUCCAGGACAGAAGCUGCCUCUGCCUGCUCUGCUCUCAGCUCUGAAGUCUUUUCUUAAAGGUCAGCAAAGCACAGAGACCCUCUGGAAUCUGUCUCUGGUGAUAGGCCAGCAGACAGAGGCUCUAAAAAUAAACCUUAAUAAGAUUUUAAGUAAACGCUUUCCACAAGAAGUCAGAUGGUGAUUCUUUUUUCUUUCCUAGAGCAACAUGACCUAUAGAGAAGCCCAUUCCUGCAGAGGAGGAAAGGUCAGAGGCUUCCACAGUGCGGGACUGAAUUUGGAGAAGGCUCCCUCUGCUCUGGGGCCGGCUUUGACAGGACCUGCAGUCUUAGCGUGAGAGGUCCCAUCCCAGGGGCGUGCCUGGCACUCCUGCCCCAGUCAGCUGGGCCCAGUGAACAACCUGAGCCGGGUUGCAGUGUUUCUGUACCCAGAGGAGUGGGCAGAGGUGAAGGUGUCUUUGCUUCCAUUUUGCUUUCUCCCCAGCAUGUGGUUCUCAGAGGUAGUGUCUGACUAGCUCACUGGGGCUGGGGGCCCACCUGGACUGGGCCCACAAGGCAGUGCGGCCUGUGGAAUGCCCAGGAGGAGGGCCCAGCUCUGCCUCCCAGCAGCACGCAGCCUGGGACACGCCAGCCAGGCCACCUGCUGAGAUGUCCUUCCUGCCCCUUCUCACUGCAAAGUGAGAAAAGCUCAGCGGGGUGCUGGGCUUGCUGUUGGUGGCACCAGCCUUCUCCUGGGGCGGUCCAGACCGGUGGGGGCGGGGGAGGCUUCAUCGAGUGGGGAGAGGAGAAGAAAGAGGGCGGGGAAAGGGGGGGGAAGAGAAAGCCGGGGAGGAGGGAAAGAGACAGGAAGGGAGGGAGGAGCCAGGGAAGGGCAGGGAGAGGGCGACAAAGACUGCGCCCGCGGCUGGCGCUGGCGGUCCCCCGCCACAGCGGCCGGUGGGGCCCCUGUCCCCCGCUUGGGCACCUGGAGAGGGGGCGCAGGAGCAGCGGGCGGGGCUGGGGUGGGAGGAGAAGGCGGGAGCAGAGGAGAAAACCGAGGGGCCAGAGGACGUCGCCAGGGAUCGCGAAGGAGUCCGGCCCAGUUUUAAUGACGCCCCCAGAGGAGAGGAGAGGGGACACCCCGGGGCCCUGCCGCCCGCCCGCCGGGUCCCAGCCCUGCCCGCCCGCUGAACUGCCUCCCACCUACUGGUUUUAAAAGCAGAAUCAAAGUGUAAAACAGAGAGAAAUUUCUCUGAUGCGGCAUUUACAUAAGAAACACAUUCAGAAAAAGAGACUGUGAUUCUGAAAGUGUCCUGAUUAUACUGCACGGAAAAUCUCCCUGGGAUUGGAGGAGGUUUAAAUUCGUUGGGAGAGGAGGAAAUAAAAUCCCCUUUUCAAUUUGGAAA